UAGGUGCUGUCGUAGUUGUCGUCAGGUUAAAGUAGGUUCUGACUUUGUUGUUUUUGUUGUUGUUAAAGUAAUGAUUCUAUUUCAAAUUUUAUGUCGAAAGGGGGUCCAGUCGCCCGUUUUUUGGCAACCUGCUACAACUGUGACAGUC